rnacentral:tRNA from 1 species
GUCCUGAGGUGAAGUGUUCAUAUUGAAUUGCAAAUUCAAAGAUGCAGUGACUCUGCCGGGACUU